rnacentral:misc_RNA from 1 species
CCGAGCGAGGGCCCCCGGCCCGACCUCCAACCCUUUGCUGACCCCACCUGUUGCCUCGGGGGCGACCCGGACGCCGACGCGUCGGCGUCGGGCACCCCGACGGACCACUUCAACUCUGUGUCUGUACGUCGGAGUACUUAUGAAUUAAUUA